rnacentral:rRNA from 1 species
UACGAGGGGGGCGAGCGUUGUUCGGAAUUAUUGGGCGUAAAGGGCGCGUAGACGGUUAUAUAAGUCGGGUGUGAAAGCCCCGGGCUCAACCUGGGAAUUGCAUUCGAGACUGUGUAGCUAGGGUGCGGAAGAGGGAAGCGGAAUUUCCGGUGUAGCGGUGAAAUGCGUAGAUAUCGGAAGGAACACCAGUGGCGAAAGCGGCUUCCUGGUCCAGCACCGACGUUCAGGCGCGAAAGCGUGGGGAGCAAACAGG